GACGAACGCUGGCGGCGUGCUUAACACAUGCAAGUCGAACGGAAAGGCUCCAGCUUGCUGGAGUACUCGAGUGGCGAACGGGUGAGUAACACGUGGGUAAUCUGCCCUGCACUCUGGGAUAAGCCUGGGAAACUGGGUCUAAUACUGGAUAUGACCUUUCUCCUUAUGGGGUUUGGUGGAAAGUUUUUCGGUGUAGGAUGAGCCCGCGGCCUAUCAGCUUGUUGGUGGGGUGAUGGCCUACCAAGGCGACGACGGGUAGCCGGCCUGAGAGGGGGAUCGGCCACAUUGGGACUGAGAUACGGCCCAGACUCCUACGGGAGGCAGCAGUGGGGAAUAUUGCACAAUGGGCGGAAGCCUGAUGCAGCGACGCCGCGUGAGGGAUGACGGCCUUCGGGUUGUAAACCUCUUUCGGCAGGGACGAAGCGUAAGUGACGGUACCUGCAGAAGAAGCACCGGCUAACUAUGUG
rnacentral:rRNA from 1 species